rnacentral:rRNA from 1 species
GACGAACGCUGGCGGCGUGCUUAACACAUGCAAGUCGAACGGAAAGACCCUGCUUUUGUGGGGUGCUCGAGUGGCGAACGGGUGAGUAACACGUGAGUAACCUGCCCUUGACUUUGGGAUUACUUCAGGAAACUGGGGCUAAUACCGGAUAGGAGCUCCUGCUGCAUGGUGGGGGUUGGAAAGUUUCGGCGGUUGGGGAUGGACUCGCGGCUUAUCAGCUUGUUGGUGGGGUAGUGGCUUACCAAGGCUUUGACGGGUAGCCGGCCUGAGAGGGUGACCGGCCACAUUGGGACUGAGAUACGGCCCAGACUCCUACGGGAGGCAGCAGUGGGGAAUAUUGCACAAUGGGCGGAAGCCUGAUGCAGCAACGCCGCGUGCGGGAUGACGGCCUUCGGGUUGUAAACCGCUUUCGCCUGUGACGAAGCGUGAGUGACAGUAAUGGGUAAAGAAGCACCGGCUAACUACGUG